rnacentral:misc_RNA from 1 species
AAGAAUUUGGUGGAGGGGGAGGAGGGGAUUGCACACAAGGAGGCAAUGGUGAAGAUGGUGGUGGAGAUGGAGGAGGAGGUGAUGGAGGUGGAGGUGGAGGAGACGGUGUGGGAGGAGAUGGUGGAGGUGGGGAAGGUGGAGGAGGGGGAGGAGAGUAAACUGGCGGAGGUGGAGGUGGGGGCGAAGGUGGUAGGGGAGAAGGAGGUGGUGGAGGGGGUGAAAACACUGGUAGUGGGGGUGAAGGUGGAGGGAGAGGUGGUGAAUAAACCGGUGGAGGAGGAGGUGAGUAAGCUGGUGGCGGAGGUGGAGGUGAUGAUAACGGAAUAACAACAGGUGGUGGUGGUGAAGGCGGAGGAGGAGCAGGCAAAGAGGGAACAAAAGGUUUACAUCUAAACGCAUUACAAUCAACAGGCUUAGAUAAAAAUGCCUUGCAUUGUGCCGCAGAUCUUUGUGAGGGCCUUGCCGGCAAGCAAUUCCUCCUGUCGUCGAAUUCCUUGAGGUUCAAGCAGACUGGUGGCUCUCCAGUGAAGAAGUUAUAAGAAAA